GAUUCUUUCCAUCGUUCAAAGUGUUCACGCUCUGUCUGCUAAAAUAAAUAAAAAGAAGAUGGCCUUAGUUGGCUUUUCGCCACGUUAAGGGUGGUCUGUUGGCUUUUAGAGGGAUUUAGGCACUUUUCAGCUGACAAGUUUGGGAAUUCAGCUGGUUGCCCAGCUAAACACCUGCUGGCCAGACUCCUUUAAAAUGUGUGUUUCAGCAGGUCUGAGCGUGGCCGACAGGACCGAGAGACACAUUUCACCUCUGCAGAGGUGAGAGAAAUCAAUAGAGACAAAUAAACCUCAGGCCAGGAGUCCACACGGUUAGAGUCGCUCCUCAUUCUGUGUCAACCACCAUGCUGCUCAAGACUAGAAUAAGAGUGCCGUGGUGAAUUCGAACCAAGAAACAAGGAAGCAAAAAGACUGGAGACAAAGUUCAUUUAAUGGCAAAACCACAAACAAUCUCAUGGGCGGAGCUUGGGACUUGAUUGACGCCUCCUACCACCAGUAGGCGAUCACGGAUCACGACGCUUGAGGCAGAGCAACGCGGCGUCGACAUUGGCGACAGCCUUUCCCAUUUUCUUUUUUCGGGAUGGAAGGCUUCAACGGUGUCCAGCACUGAUGGCUGAUGGCCUGUAAGAAGAGAGCAGAUGUUUGGAUGACACCAACCGUGACAGCAACUGUGCGGUAGAUAAAUAUAUUAUGGUGCAACUUCCAUACCUAGACCUCCCGCCACGAUCAUUCUGCCUCGCACUAUGGCUGCGGAAAAGUCUGCUCGCUUGGUCUUCAAGGGUACGGUGUCCUCUGAUUUCAACCAAAUUCCUACGAAACAAAGCGGACACAAACAAAUAACAAUAAUAAAGU